rnacentral:rRNA from 1 species
GAUGAAUGCUGGCGGCGUGCCUAAUACAUGCAAGUCGAGCGAACAGACGAGGAGCUUGCUCCUCUGACGUUAGCGGCGGACGGGUGAGUAACACGUGGAUAACCUACCUAUAAGACUGGGAUAACUUCGGGAAACCGGAGCUAAUACCGGAUAAUAUAUUGAACCGCAUGGUUCAAUAGUGAAAGACGGUUUUGCUGUCACUUAUAGAUGGAUCCGCGCCGCAUUAGCUAGUUGGUAAGGUAACGGCUUACCAAGGCAACGAUGCGUAGCCGACCUGAGAGGGUGAUCGGCCACACUGGAACUGAGACACGGUCCAGACUCCUACGGGAGGCAGCAGUAGGGAAUCUUCCGCAAUGGGCGAAAGCUUGACGGAGCAACGCCGCGUGAGUGAUGAAGGUCUUCGGAUCGUAAAACUCUGUUAUUAGGGAAGAACAAAUGUGUAAGUAACUAUGCACGUCUUGACGGUACCUAAUCAGAAAGCCACGGCUAACUACGU